rnacentral:lncRNA from 1 species
UAAUAGUCUAGUGGCGGAGGAUGGAACUAAGCUAGUGGAUUGACAGGACUUGUUAAUUAACUAGAAGAGGAGAUGAGAAGAGGAACAUAUCCAGGAUGACCCAGGUGUCUGGCCCAUGUCCUGGGGUGCUGGAGAAGAAAAGAUGAAUUCACUGGCAUAGGAGCUUCCUAACUUCCUGCUCUAAAUUGAAGCUGCUAAGUAUAUGCUUAUAUUAUGCCCGUGAACUGGCAAGUUUGGAGGCUGAAAGGAUUGAACUUCACAAAUAAGAGUUCUUUUUACAAACAUUCCAGUUAUCAGAUUUGGACAACACAAGUAGAAGCCUUGUUAAACUCAAUCUCCGUUGUCACUGGCUGCCUGCUCAUGUUCUUGGAGUGUUGCCAACAGGUUCUAUCUCUGAUUCCAUUCUCAAGGGUGAGCAUGUUUUAUCAAACCAGGAAAGAGCCACAACUCUAGCAACUGUGAGCAACAGAAAAGCUAGAAAAAUGGAUAGAAUUCAAAAGCCGAUUGUGCGGGCAGCAAUGACAGCCUACCUACCUUCUACAGCUUUGGAGAAGUUUACUUUUCUUCUCUUGAACUAUCUACCAGUCUGUAUCUGGAGUGCUUUCUGAAGGAAUUGGAUCUAUACCUGCCUGGCCAAAUAGAGCUGUCAAGGAUGGGGUGUGAUCCAAGCGACUAUUAACCCAGUAGCCUGUUUUCCCAGCAUCUUGGCCGUGUGGAAAUAGACUAACGGUUUCUGCUGUCAUACUUGUAGACAGCUGAACAAUGACAUUUAUGGUUACCAGGAAGAUUGUGUCUUGGCCAACAUUCUAAAACUUCACAUUUACUCAUUUUUUGAUUUUUUUUUGCCGAGCAAAGCAGAAACUGACUGCAGGAAAAUCAGGUGUGUUUAGAAGCAAUUGCCUGCUUUGUUACUCAUUAGGGACUUACAUUAGCUUGGAGUAGAUGUCGAUGCAUUCUUUCCUUAACUGAUUAAAGUCUGGAUUUCUCAUCUCCCUAACUCUGGUAUUACCAAAGAGACACUCCUGUCCAGUGCACAGAUAAUUUCAUAUUGACUGCUGUGUUAGAGACUGGCUUGUUUCAGCCAAACUAUAUUCUCUUCUUGAGUGUAAAUUAGAUUCUCAUUUUCAGACUUCCUCAGUAUGGCUACAUGUCGUGUUCUCAACCAAUGAAAUAUGUAUGUGACUUCUGAGUCAAGGGAGUUAAGAAGCAUGCGUAUUUUGUCUACCUGCUUCUUUCUCAUUUGCUACCUGAACGCAGAAGACUCCAAGGUCUUACAGGAGGGACAUGAGGUGGAAGGUGUUUGGGUACCAGAAUGACUCUGUGGAAGGCCAGAGACUGAUCACAUUUACAUUGUAUUGUUAUAUGAAUGAGAAAUAAAC